CUUCCGCACCCAGUGCGCUUUCUCGGUUGCCGACGCCGAAAAGCACAAGCGAUGUCUGCAAUAAUUGAACACCACAACCAACCAACUGAAGAUUGCACUAAUGGUUCCUUUUGCAAAGCUGCUGGAAUUCCACUGUCUGAAGAGUAUGUCGUGGGAAAGCUACACUUCAGUGGCUGCCAGCCUGCUCAAAAUUCAAAAUCCCAGCUCAGUCAACUUAACCUGACAGUCUAUGGAGAUCAAAGUUCCCUCGUAACUCAGUAAUGGCCUCUGAGUGGUCACAGUUUACCUGUGAGAACUGAAAAAAAGAACUUGCAUUUUAGGGAUCCAUGCAUGCUCGUCGCCAGGCCAAGCUUUCAGAAUGACCCUCUAGGCAUUCUGCCUCAGCUGAAGCUGUUGUCUGCAGCCGGCUGCGGAAAGCGAG
ensembl:lncRNA